UACAGAGGUCCCAAGCGUUGUUCGGAUUCACUGGGCGUAAAUGGUGCGUAGGCGGUCGGGUAAGUCGGGAGUGAAAUCUCUGGGCUUAACUCAGGGGCUGCUUCCGAAACUGCCGUGCUUGAGUGCGGGAGAGGCGAGUGGAAUUGCAGGUGUAGCGGUGAAAUGCGUAGAUAUCUGCAGGAACACCCGUGGCGAAGGCGGCUCGCUGGACCGCAACUGACGCUGAGGAACGAAAGCUAGGGGAGCAAACAGG
rnacentral:rRNA from 1 species